GACGAACGCUGGCGGCGUGCUUAACACAUGCAAGUCGAACGGUAAGGCCCUUCGGGGUACACGAGUGGCGAACGGGUGAGUAACACGUGGGUGAUCUGCCCUGCACUUCGGGAUAAGCCUGGGAAACUGGGUCUAAUACCGGAUAGGACCACUGCCUGCAUGGGUGGUGGUGGAAAGCUUUUGCGGUGUGGGAUGGGCCCGCGGCCUAUCAGCUUGUUGGUGGGGUGAUGGCCUACCAAGGCGACGACGGGUAGCCGGCCGGGGAGGGUGACCGGCCACGCUGGGACUGAGAUACGGCCCAGACUCCUACGGGAGGCAGCAGUGGGGAAUAUUGCACAAUGGGCGCAAGCCUGAUGCAGCGACGCCGCGUGAGGGAUGACGGCCUUCGAGUUGUAAACCUCUUCCAGCACCGACGAAGCGCAAGUGACGGUAGGUGCAGAAGAAGGACCGGCCAACUACGUGCCAGCCGCCGCCGUAA
rnacentral:rRNA from 1 species